AUUGAACGCUGGCGGCAGGCCUAACACAUGCAAGUCGAGCGGAUGAAGGGAGCUUGCUCCUGGAUUCAGCGGCGGACGGGUGAGUAAUGCCUAGGAAUCUGCCUGGUAGUGGGGGAUAACGUCCGGAAACGGGCGCUAAUACCGCAUACGUCCUGAGGGAGAAAGUGGGGGAUCUUCGGACCUCACGCUAUCAGAUGAGCCUAGGUCGGAUUAGCUAGUUGGUGGGGUAAAGGCCUACCAAGGCGACGAUCCGUAACUGGUCUGAGAGGAUGAUCAGUCACACUGGAACUGAGACACGGUCCAGACUCCUACGGGAGGCAGCAGUGGGGAAUAUUGGACAAUGGGCGAAAGCCUGAUCCAGCCAUGCCGCGUGUGUGAAGAAGGUCUUCGGAUUGUAAAGCACUUUAAGUUGGGAGGAAGGGCAGUAAGUUAAGACCUUGCUGUUUUGACGUGACCAACAGAAUAAGCACCGGCUAACUGCGU
rnacentral:rRNA from 1 species